CCUACGGGAGGCAGCAGUGGGGAAUAUUGGACAAUGGGCGAAAGCCUGAUCCAGCAAUGCCGCGUGAGUGAUGAAGGCCUUCGGGUCGUAAAGCUCUUUUACCAGGGAUGAUAACGACAGUACCUGGAGAAUAAGCUCCGGCUAACUCCGUGCCAGCAGCCGCGGUAAUACGGAGGGAGCUAGCGUUGUUCGGAAUUACUGGGCGUAAAGAGUACGUAGGCGGUUAUUCAAGUCAGAGGUGAAAGCCCGGGGCUCAACCCCGGAACUGCCUUUGAAACUAGAUAACUAGAGUCUUGGAGAGGUUAGUGGAAUUCCGAGUGUAGAGGUGAAAUUCGUAGAUAUUCGGAAGAACACCAGUGGCGAAGGCGACUAACUGGACAAGUACUGACGCUGAGGUACGAAAGCGUGGGGAGCAAACAGGAUUAGAUACCCUGGUAGUCCACGCCGUAAACGAUGAUAACUAGUUGUUCGGUCACUUGGUGACUGAGUGACGCAGCUAACGCAUUAAGUUAUCCGCCUGGGGAGUACGGUCGCAAGAUUAAAACUCAAAGAUAGUAGCGUGNGAAGUAGUCGACGACGACGACGAGGAGGAGG
rnacentral:rRNA from 1 species